rnacentral:rRNA from 1 species
CCCGUAGUCUGCCAUACGCA